UUAGGGGCGGACCAUUUGAUUUUUGAGGGGUGGGUGGGGGUGGGUGGAAGAUUCAGUCUGUGCAAGAAUUUUUUUUCCGCCCAGGCGAACGAGACAGAUAUUUUUUUCCUGUAAAAGUGCAGCGCAAGAUAUUUUUUUCCCAAUAUAUUUGGCCGCAGGAUAUUUUUUUUUGCCUCUCAUAAUAACGGCUUACAGCAACUUUAGGCUUUCAUAUAGCUAUCAUCGGAGACGUAGCAGGGGUUUUCAGUCAGAGGAGGCCGAGAACUGAAUCCCAAGAGGGGCCAAAGAAUUUUCACUGUGCUUUAUUUUAUAUGGUUAUGUCUUAAUGUUCCCCACACUAAAGCGUGCAAGUUUACUUACAAAGAAUGUAUAACUGCACCAAAACCUAAAACAUGCAGGGAUAGAGUAGAGUACAGUACUCCAAAAUGGGGGAGGGUACAGCAGUGGCGUAACGUUAUAUCAAGGGGCCCCCGGUUCAAAAUUUUCGAAGGCCCCCCUAGUAGAAGUGCCAAAGGCACGAGUCGAGCGCCGUAUAUGCACGAGUUUUCUAGGGGGUCCAGGGCAUGGUCAUCCAGAAAAUUUUUGAAUCUAGACUCUCUGAAAUGCC